rnacentral:rRNA from 1 species
GACGAACGCUGGCGGCGUGCUUAACACAUGCAAGUCGAACGGAAAGGCCCUGCUUUUGUGGGGUGCUCGAGUGGCGAACGGGUGAGUAACACGUGAGUAACCUGCCCUUGACUUUGGGAUAACUUCAGGAAACUGGGGCUAAUACCGGAUAGGAGCUCCUGCUGCAUGGUGGGGGUUGGAAAGUUUCGGCGGUUGGGGAUGGACUCGCGGCUUAUCAGCUUGUUGGUGGGGUAGUGGCUUACCAAGGCUUUGACGGGUAGCCGGCCUGAGAGGGUGACCGGCCACAUUGGGACUGAGAUACGGCCCAGUCUCCUACGGGAGGCAGCAGUGGGGAAUAUUGCACAAUGGGCGGAAGCCUGAUGCAGCAACUCCGCGUGCGGGAUGACGGCCUUCGGGUUGUAAACCGCUUUCGCCUGUGACGAAGCGUGAGUGACGGUAAUGGGUAAAGAAGCACCGGCUAACUACGUG